AGAAUAAUUAUUUCCUUUUGGAUGAACUCAGAAAACAAGUCAGUGGAUGAUACUAUACCUGUUUCCAGACAAAUACUUGUGAGCAUUCCCAACCUGUUAAAAGGAAGCAAUUACGGUAGAGGACCAGACUGCAUGGAUGACCUGAACCUUGCUCACAACAGAUGAGAAAAAAUGACAUUUUUCUCCUUUCUGAAAGACUUUUAUAGCUUGUGAAAAGGAAACUUCAAGGAAGGUGGGGAGAUUGAAGGCUGGACUGUGCUUGCACCCAUCAAGGAUAAACACAAAAUAAAACUUCUGGAAGUUACCAGGCCAGUUAUCUAUUUGGAGACUUGGUUAACUUUGAGCACUAUAUACAAAACAUAUGCUACCAAUCAUGCAAGUCACAGACCUCUGAUGAGGUGAAACCACAAUUUUUCAUACGAGAAACUAUAAGCUCAUUAAGAAAUGAUAAUCAUUCUGUUCCUCUCACAUACCAUGGAGAACUGUACAAGAUGGAAGAAUAUUAAGAGCUAUCACAGAGCACUAUACUCUAAUGAGGAAAGCUCAUGCUUCAAUUUCCUGAGUUUGACCUCUGAAAAGGCACUGAGCCUCUAGGAAUCAAGGUGUUUUUUUUUCUUUCCUUCUGUGUAUUGAGUUCUUCAUUUGUUCAAUGGGGCUAAUAUAACCUCUGUACCUUCUGAGAAUAGAAACGUUAAAGACUGACUCAGUUUUAUGGUAAUGGAAACCAUUUUGUAAGCAAGACCAAAAGAAUCUCCUCUGAAGACCAGUUACAGCCAGAAUGAGAUAGGUCUCUUUCAAAUAUAGCAAAAACUUUCCAAAACAGAGCAUAUAAUAAAUGCACUAGUUUCCUUUUUCUCUCAUUUUAAUCUGCAACAAUGAAAAAUAUUCACUGUGUUUCUUUUCACUACCAUUUCCUUUUUUUCCUUUGUUUUUCUUUAUUCCUUCCCACUCUCAUUCCAUUCCCUACUUUUAUAAUUCCUUUGCUAAUAAACAAAUAGUCCACUCAUCUAAUUCCUUGACUUCAGUGUGCUACAAACCAGCAUAAGGGCUGCAGAAUUUGAUGAAUGCAAGACAGAAUGGAAGCAGAAGAGAAAGUACGAUACGAGGAGGCGAACAGCUCUGGAGUACUGAGCUCAGCAGGCUAAAUACUACCGCCCUGAUAAGCAAUCUCCAAAGGUACGCGUGUACAAUGCCGACAACAGUCUGAAACUCUAUUGCUAUAUUUACAUUAAGGCACAGUAGAAGAUGGGGUGACAAAAGCAGCUGCUACUGAGGACUUGACAUUCACAGCACACAUGUUUCGGAAGGUUUAUCCUGGAAUAUCUUUAGGCAGGUUCUGUGGAUGAGCAUUCAUUGCGUUUCAAAAAGGUCUGUGGCUUGAGGUUAAACAAAAUGGAAUCAAGCUCACGUGCUCUGGAAUUACACAUGGUGUGAACCCAAGCAGAACAAUUAAAAACAUCCAGGAAAUGAGCUUUAAAGUCACCUUCUUUUCUCCAAAUCUAAAUACUGAUGUAAGUGCAUCCUAUGUCAUUUAAAAUUCUCUUGACUUCACAAGUAUUCCAUGUAAAUUUCCCAAUGAAUUUUUGGGAAAUGGACCUUAAUGAAAAUUGAUUUUUAAAUAAAAGUUAUGUUGUUCUUAUUGGAGAACACAGUGAUUUGUAAUGUAAUAGGAGGUUUUUAUGUUUUGUUCAGACUAUCUGGAUAGACAAGAAGAAUGUGCAUGUAGGAAAUGUACAGUCUGCAACACCUAUAAAGGUUACAAAAGUGUACAAAAACAUCUCUUGAAAUUUAAAAUAUUGUUGAUGAAAGGAAUGCUUUUAAACUUUUUAGAGGAGCCACACAUGACAUUUUACCCUUUAAAGAUGGGAAGGUAACAAGAACUUUUCUUCCCCAAAAUGUGGAGCACGCUCAGGUGAAGCUGAAACUGAAUUUCCAGUUAGAUCUCUGCUGCAGCUUACAAAGCUACCUAAAUCGAAGUGACAGUCCAGCCAGGAACUGAGAAAUAUGUCACAACAAAUUCUUUUUAAAUAUAAAAUAAUUUCACAUGCUCUGCAGACCAUUACCAUUUUGUAAUUUUAAAGAGAGAUGAAGACAAUCCUUGCACAAGGACGUUUCAGGUGUUCUUUACCCAUAACCACUUUAGUGAUUACAACUUUUUUAUUCUAUUGCUAUGUUUGCUGAUUAUGUACUUCAUGUAAAACAUCUUAAGGAAAUCAUCCUUUACACUGUAUGAUUUGCAUUCGUCAUUAUUUUUUACUAUGACUAGUAUAACUAUUAUACUAUGACUAUAACCUCUUUAAUUCAUUCCAUGAAAGAUUUGAAAAAAAAAAAAAAGAAAAGAAAUUAGACCUACUUUUUGGAUCAUUAAGUAGUGCAUAAUCUUCAAAUGGGACAUUAAAAACUGUAAUCAGUGACAUCACCAUGACAACCGAUUAAGAAUUGUCUAGAGAAGCCUCUGAAAAUGCAAUUUUUUAAUAUAAUACAUUUAAAUGAGUUCAUCAGAACAAAGCACUCUAAGUAGAUUUAUUAUGAAUUGAACAUCUAGAAAUAAUUUGGAUAUACAAUGAACACUGAAAUUUUUUCACUCUGACUUCAGGAGAUAGGGGGUGGCAUCAAAAUUCUUUCUUGACUUUGAUAGACUUAGCAGGGGAGGGAAUAUCAAAGAAAAAAUCAGUUGUCUUGCACUAACAGACUGGAUUUCAUUAACUGGUUUUGGGGCAUGCUUCUUCCUGUAUUAUUUAGUCUCCUAACGUGUAGCUACAGUUUACACCAGGUGAGGGCCUCUAAGAAUUAGGCAUUGCUUAAAUUCCCCUUACGCUUUAGCCUGAUGAUCUUACACGAAGCUAUGCCCACUGUCCAGCUCACUCUAAUGAGUGAAACUGGAAGCAGCAGAAACAUCAUUCUGUCACAUAUCAACAGUAAAAUAUAAAUAAAACAUCAUACAAUGUCUACCUGCAGUAUAUUGUGUUACAUACCUAUAUAAAUGAUAUACUUAGUAGUUGAGGAAAAAAUACUCAUGUGACUAAAGGCCAAUCAAAAUAAUAUUUUUAUCUGUAUCACAGAAGAUUAAAGAGAAAUACAUAUAUACAUUUUUUACAGAUAAUCUGUUUGAAAAGAUUAGCUAUACUUAACAAGACUAAACUACCCAGCAUGCAUGAGCCCUGGCUCAUCCUCAGAACAGCUAAAAGAAUGUAGGAAUUUCUUCCUCAUGUCUCCCAGUUUCCAAGUUGCCUCUCUAAGUUACAGCUUGUUCUUGUCUUUUAUGGUUAUGUCUCCUUCUUCUGCCAGCUGUAUUUUUUAUGCCCUUUUCUAGAACAGAACUUGCACUAGUGACGUUGUUGCAAGCAGACUGCAUGUUUAGAACAAAGACUUUCCACAACGCUGCCUUGUGUAAGUGCUAUUGUUGCAGAAUGGGGAGGAGGUUUAAGUUUCAUCAUAGUAGAAGCUCUCACUUAGAAUGAUACAGUGUUUUUUACUGCAAGAAGUUCACAACAGGGACAGUAUGUCAGUCACUGUAAUCUGCCACUAUUCUACGUUGGCUGGGUCCGCAAUAUUUUAUAUCAGCUGCAAAUCUGCCUCUUAAAAGCAUGCUGGUCCAUCCUAAAGCACGAUGAAACUAGGAACGUUUUAGUCAAGGACUGCGUCUCAGACUGAAAUGACAGUCUGUCUUUGGCAUGCUCACCCUCCAAAAACUUUAACGCAGCUGCAGAAAAAUGUUCUUAAUGCCUUCAGAAAUCUGACUGAUUUGAAUUGGUAUCAAAACUAGAGGCAUUCCCAAAUCACCAAUCCCUUUUGAAAACCCAGGCUAUUAUACUUACAAAACACUGACUCUCCAUUAAACUCCUUGUUAUUCUUUUUCUAAUGAGACACUUUACCAGCCUGUCAUCACCCGCUGUGAUUAAUUCUCUACUUGUAAAAUUUUAGCUCUCUCUCUGCUGCUGCUGUUAAUGUGCUUUGUACCAAAUAAAAAUGAAGCUGAUGUUUACAAAUCCUGUCUGGAGGUUGCUUUAAAAAAGCCCUUCUUUGCCUUACAUUAAUGAGGCCAAGUACACCAAUUUUUGUUCAAAAUUAUUCUGGAUAAUUAAACACUGUAACAGACUACCAUGGAAGAUGUAAAACUCACUAUUGCUUAAAUGGCUCUAAAAUAUAAUAUCUUUCAAAAUAUAUGCCUACCUGUCCAUGGUCCACAUACAGACGAAUUCAGAUUUGAAGAUCGUAUGCAUUCUUCUCAUCUAAUGUUUGUGAAUCUAGGAAUAAGAAAAACCUUUUUGAAAAACAAAACAAAACAAAACAAACAACAGGAUUUACUCAUACAGUUAUCUUGAGUAAAAACUGAUAAAAAACUGCACAGCACAGAAUCUUGUACUGUUGAGUGCACUCAGGACAGUGCAGAAUUUAUCUCAGGCAGAUUAGGAAACAAGCACCAUAGCAAUAGAAACCUGUAAUUCUUUGCUGUAUGGUUCUCUGGAAAAUGGCUUCCCCGAGGGUGUUAUCUAAAAUUACAAGUGAAAAAGUACUUGCUGACUGGUAUAAUGAUGAGCACAGAAACAUUAUGUAUGCUCCUUGACUCUGCUUCUACCCUCUCUAGUUCUGCAUGUUCUGAAGCCAGUCCAACUCACAGUCCAAGACUGUGCAACACUUUUCACAAUGCACAUGAAGGAGACAUCUGUACAGUUAAGUAGACCUUUGUUGAAGACUGAUUUGAAAAUAGAUCUUCACAACAAUCUAAAACCUUGACAGACAACAUGGAAGUGAAAGACGGGGCUGAAUCAAACUUUCACUGCUACAUAGUAAUGUUAUUGCAAUACAAGAGUGGAUGCCUGCUCAUCCUUCUGCUUUAGAAGAACUUCAGAAGUUAUCCUAUCUCACGGUUUUUAAGGAAUGAAGGAAGACAACAUCUAAUUCAUCUAAUAAGCACAGUGGC
rnacentral:lncRNA from 1 species